rnacentral:rRNA from 1 species
GACGUUACCUACAGAAGAAGACACCGGCUAACUCCGUGCCAGCAGCCGCGGUAAUACGGAGGUGCGAGCGUUAAUCGGAAUUACUGGGCGUAAAGCGCAUGCAGGCGGCCUGUUAAGUCAGAUGUGAAAGCCCGGGGCGUUAACCUACGGAAUUGCAUUUAGAAACUGGCAGGCUAGAGUCUUGUAGAGGGGGGUAGGAAUUUCAGGUGUAGCGGUGAAAUGCGUAGAGAUCUGAAGGAAUACCAGUGGCGAAGGCGGCCCCCUGGACAAAGACUGACGCUCAGAUGCGAAAGCGUGGGGAGCAAACAGGAUUAGAUACCCUGGUAG